rnacentral:rRNA from 1 species
AUACGGAGGGUCCAAGCGUUAUCCGGAAUCAUUGGGUUUAAAGGGUCCGCAGGCGGUCAAUUAAGUCAGAGGUGAAAGCCCAUCGCUCAACGAUGGAACUGCCUUUGAUACUGGUUGACUUGAGUUAUACGGAAGUAGAUAGAAUAAGUAGUGUAGCGGUGAAAUGCAUAGAUAUUACUUAGAAUACCGAUUGCGAAGGCAGUCUACUACGUAUAUACUGACGCUGAGGGACGAAAGCGUGGGGAGCGAACAGCAUUAGAUACCCUAGUAGUCC